rnacentral:tmRNA from 1 species
CUAUAUAGAGCGCGUCGGGCAACCGACUAUGGCGAUAAACGAUGCGUGGAAUAAGCGUAGUGGACCCGGGGGCAGUACCCGGCGCCUCCACCAGUUUCCCCGCCGGUCCGGUUCGCAUUGCGCAAAUCGAACCGCCGGCGGUUUCAUGGGGGCGAAACAGGCUCGACACGCGUGGUAAAGACCCAUCUUUCGCUCGGCAUGGUUCCGCCGUCAUCGGGCCGUAUGACAAGUGCCAACGAUAACUUCGAGGCGCUCGCUGUCGCUGCAUAAGCGAUAAGCGCGGCACGGGGGGCGCCGGGCAACAGAAGCCCCCCACCUUGCCUUUUCCAUAUCCAGCAGAGCGCAAAAAAAACGGCCGGUC